CAACACCUGGCGGUUGGAGCCUUUAAACAUGGAUGGAGGGGGAAAAACACACGUCACGCAAGAUCACAGUGUCCCUCUGGCCCCCUCACCUCUGCUGUCUUUGCCCAGUGCAGCGGUGUUGCACAAUACCGUGGGUCCUCUACACGAGACUGGCUUGCAGUAAAAUCCAAGAUGGCUUCUGCGCACCUACAAGAAACACAAGGAAUGAUAGAAUCAGUGUCUCGCUCCCUUACUAUUGCCUUACAAAUAAAAUAACACCCGUUUCA